rnacentral:tRNA from 1 species
AUUUAAGUAAUUUAAAAAAAAUUUUGAUUUGUGGUAUCAAAUUUGUAAAUUUAUUUACCUUAAAUU